rnacentral:rRNA from 1 species
UACAGAGGGGGCAAGCGUUAUUCGGAAUUAUUGGGCGUAAAGGGCGCGUAGGCGGCUUUGCAAGUGACGGGUGAAAUCCCUCGGCUUAACCGAGGAACUGCCUGUCAAACUGCAUGGCUUGAGACCGGGAGAGGUGAGUGGAAUUCCGAGUGUAGAGGUGAAAUUCGUAGAUAUUCGGAAGAACACCAGUGGCGAAGGCGGCUCACUGGUCCGGUACUGACGCUGAGGUGCGAAAGCGUGGGGAGCAAACAGG